rnacentral:rRNA from 1 species
AGUGAACGCUGGCGGUAAGCCGAACACAUGCAAGUCGAACGGCAGCACAGUAAGAGCUUGCUCUUACGGGUGGCGAGUGGCGGACGGGUGAGGAAUACAUCGGAAUCUACUUUUUCGUGGGGGAGAACGUAGGGAAACUUACGCUAAUACCGCAUACGACCUACGGGUGAAAUCAGGGGAUCUUCGGACCUUGCUCGAUUGAAUGAGCCGAUGUCGGAUUAGCUAGUUGGCCGGGUAAAGGCCCACCAAGGCGACGAUCCGUAGCUGGUCUGAGAGGAUGACCAGCCAAACUAGAACUGGGACACGGUCCAGACUCCUACGGGAGGCAGCAGUGGGGAAUAUUGGACAAUGGGCGCAAGCCUGAUCCAGCCAUACCGCGUGGGUGAAGAAGGCCUUCGGGUUGUAAAGACCUUUUGUUGGGAAAGAAAAGCAGCAGGUUAACACGCCGCUGUUCUGACGGUACCCAAAGAAUAAGCACCGGCUAACUUCGUG